CUCAGUGCCAGGCCCGAGACGUUGCUAAGUGCUAUGGAAUAGCUGUUAUGCUGCUCUCCAGUCCCACAGAGAACAGCUACUGACUUCGCAGCGGGCCAACCCGGGGAGAGCAAGGGUCAGCCAGCUCCGGAGUGUAUAAAACAGCGGGAAGGAAGAAGAGCGAGAAACGCCUCUCCGAUAAAUCACCGAGCUGUCCAGGGUGAGCAGUGCCCUUGAGCAUUAAAUUUAGAGUUGCAGGCAGUGCCUUGCCAUAGAUUUGAACUCUGGUGGAAAAGCCCCUUGAGGGAGAAGAAGCAAGUUGGAGACAAGUGCUAAUGGCGGCACAGCACAGAAGCAAAUUGCCCAUCAAAUGGGACGACUUAGUGUUGCAGGAGCAUUUGCAGGAAAAAAAAAAAAAGGAGAAAGCAGAAAUCAUCCAAUACUGGCUGCCCUUGAUUUAGGUUGCUUUCAGCAGAUUCACGUGGGAAUGCGGAUUCUCUCUGGUGCUCAGGGAGUUUGUAAUAACACUGUCCAGACUCAACUUGCCUUAACACUCCCACAGUGUCUUAGCAAUAUGAAAGCGAGAAAAGGAGGGCUGUGCAGUGAAGGGGUUUCUGACGUUGGGAUAAGAGUUGAUAGGAUCCUUUUGAAUAUACGCACAAAGCCCGCACCGAUUCACAAUGAUGCAAAAGUUGAUCUCAUUGCUUGGGGGACCCAGCGCUAGCAGGUUGCCCUGCACACCCUGCACGUGAUUGGUUCCUGGAGAAGGUCAGCUCCGAGGAGCAAGUGAUUGGCUGCUUCCACUGAAGGCCCAGCUCUAUCAUAUUUACAAAGACAGCAUUACCCAGAACCUAAGGAUUCUGGCCUCCAACAAGAAAUAUCUGGGCUGAAGGUUACUGACUCACUUGGAUCAUUUGAAAAGAUUCUGCUUGCUUUGUAUUUUUAAUAAAGGGUCAGAUAAGAUUGGCUCACCCUCCUUUCUGCCUUGCAUAUUGAUUUGAGUCAUUAAUUUUGGGCCAGCUUUUAGCUUGAUUGAAGCCCACAUCCAUGACCAAAAGACUUGUUCUUCGCUUUUACGAAUGCCAAAUACCUUUCAUCUACAACCCAUUCCCUAGCUGAAGUCCCCAAGCCAUUGAGGAAAGAGAAAAAUGAAGAACAGCAACGAUGCACAAGGGUUGCUCCAGGCUCUGAUUGUUAUUGGUUCAUUUGGGGUCAGUGAACUGGAUCAUGCUUAAUGAUGCACUAAGUUUUGAUUCCAGGAGAAAUGAUAAUCAGCGAGUUUUAAGAUGCAGAUGCCCCCAACUGUAACAACAUAUUAAAACAGUCCCAGAAAUGGAAAAAAAAACAAAAAAACUCUCAUUGGACCAUCAUGGUUUUGUAAAAGAGAAAACAAAUAACUGGUAACUCAUGCAGCCAGCUCCUAAUUCCUGUUGAGUAUUAUUUUUUCCUUUCUUUCUUUUAAAAAGAAGUGUGGCAUCCCUGAAUGAUGGGAUACACGCUUUUGUUCUGCCUUCUAUAUCACUGAGGGAGGUAGCAGAACUAUUUGUACCUGAAAGAGUUUGCAUUUCCCUAAGUGCACCUAUCUGGGUAGAAAACUGCAUUUCCUCCUGCAAACCCCACCGUCCCGAAAAUCUGCUUUGCCCUGUCAUUUCCUCAAGGUCACCUUGCUGUUUCCACUUCUCCCUUCUUCAGCCUUUGAUACACAUCUUUACAGGGUGCCCUCACUAAAAGGGCUUCUCCCCUCUUCAGUUUUGUCAUAGAUGUAUUACUGAGCUGUUGAAUUAAAAAGCCCUAAAACAGACCACCCCCCCCCCCACCACCAAUAUGCCCCAUAGAGUCGAUGUAGCUUUUACAUUUACUAUUCUCACCUACAGAAUCGUAUUUGGAAACAGCUUAGAAUCAAUUUCCCCACAUGUUGUACUUCCAUUUCAUUUGCCCCAAAACCUUUUUUAAAUUGCUGACUUCAGAGAUGGGGGAGGAUGUUUGUCAACUGCCCUUCCUUCCCUGCCUCCCAAUCCCCGCCCCCUCCCGCAUCUCUGAAAUCUGACCCUCUCUUUUUUCCCUACCCUCCCUUUCUCCCGGUCUCUUGGGGGUGAUACAGUCUUUCCUCUACUUAUUCAUUUUUUCCCCACUGUGGCCAAAAGCAGAAUGUAAUGCACUGCUCUGGCACGCUGUCUCUCUUACUCUUUCUCUCACCUAGUUUUACAUUUUCCCCACCUGUUUUUCUUGGUACUCAAGUUUUCCAGGAAUUCCAGGAAACUUUCACUCAAGCUGUUGAGUGUGUAUUCCUCCAGGCUGCCAAGAGGCCCGCUCUAGGUGGGUUCUCCCCAGGUCCCCAAGUACUUUGACUAACGAAACUGCUGACCGGGAGCUAAUUUAUCACUCUGUUAUCACUAUGUUAGGGCAUGAGAGAACCGGACCUCGAGUGAGUUAGGGACCCUUCCAGGGCCCCGUGCAUCCUCCAUGUGAA